rnacentral:lncRNA from 1 species
UUGUUAUUGUUGGGUACGGACUCAGAUAAUGCGUUGGUGCUUAGUCGAGAUGAGGUCUUUAGCCAAGUAGACAUUUUCUAGCAUCUCUGUAUAUGAGCUCGGUCUUAGCAUCACAACUCGAUCAUAGAUGUCAGCACGAAUGCUUUUAGAAACUUCCUAGCUUUUUUACUUUUGGGGGUGACCAUUAGAGGGGCAAACCUAGGCAGUUGGACAAAACAGGCUACAUACUGGGUAACCGUUAGAUUUUCUUAGUGAAGGGUCUUGAAAUUCCUCUUCCUUCUUUUCUUGGACAUAGGUAGGGAAAAAGUUAUCAAAGAAUGCAUCAAUGAAAACUUAACAGGUGGUAGGGGUAGGUAGGACUUCCUUCUUAAG